rnacentral:rRNA from 1 species
AGCGAACGCUGGCGGCAGGCCUAACACAUGCAAGUCGAACGAAGCCUUCGGGCUUAGUGGCGGACGGGUGAGUAACACGUGGGAACGUACCUUUAGGUUCGGAACAACUCAGGGAAACUUGAGCUAAUACCGGAUAAGCCCUUCGGGGGAAAGAUUUAUCGCCUUUAGAGCGGCCCGCGUUAGAUUAGCUAGUUGGUGAGGUAAAGGCUCACCAAGGCUACGAUCUAUAGCUGGUCUGAGAGGAUGAUCAGCCACACUGGGACUGAGACACGGCCCAGACUCCUACGGGAGGCAGCAGUGGGGAAUCUUGCGCAAUGGGCGAAAGCCUGACGCAGCCAUGCCGCGUGAAUGAUGAAGGUCUUAGGAUUGUAAAAUUCUUUUACCAGGGACGAUAAUGACGGUACCUGGAGAAAAAGCCCCGGCUAACCUCGUGCCAGCAGCCGCAGUAA